AACGCGGGCGGCGUGCCUAACACAUGCAAGUCGAACGCGAAAGGGGCUUCGGCCCUGAGUAGAGUGGCGAACGGGUGAGUAACGCGUGGGUGACCUACCCUCGAGUGGGGGAUAACGUUCCGAAAGGGACGCUAAUACCGCAUGACAUUCCGGGUUCGAAGACCUGGAAAUCAAAGCCGGGGACCGCAAGGCCUGGCGCUCGAGGAGGGGCCCGCGUCUGAUUAGCUAGUUGGCGGGGUAAUGGCCCACCAAGGCGACGAUCAGUAGCCGGCCUGAGAGGGCGGACGGCCACACUGGGACUGAGACACGGCCCAGACUCCUACGGGAGGCAGCAGUGGGGAAUUGUUCGCAAUGGGCGCAAGCCUGACGACGCAACGCCGCGUGGAGGAUGAAGGUCUUCGGAUUGUAAACUCCUGUUGAUCGGGACGAAAAGCUUCGACCUAACACGUCGAGGAGCUGACGGUACCGGUUGAGGAA
rnacentral:rRNA from 1 species